rnacentral:rRNA from 1 species
UUCUGCCCUAUCAACUUGUUGAUAAGGUAGUGGCUUACCAAGGUUGUGACGGGUAACGGGGAAUCAGGGUUCGAUUCCGGAGAGGGAGCCUGAGAAACGGCUACCACAUCUAAGGAAGGCAGCAGGCGCGCAAAUUACCCAAUCCAGACAUUGGGAGGUAGUGACGAGAAAUACCGGGAGCUGGACCGUAAGGUUCACUACCGGAAUGAACGUAACACAGUACCUUCGAUGAGUACCUACUGGAGGGCAAGUCUGGUGCCAGCAGCCGCGGUAAUUCCAGCUCCAGUAGUGUAUAUCAAAAUUGUUGCGGUUAAAACGCUCGUAGUUGGAUUACAAAAGUUGUGCGUUGCUUGGGCCGUAAAGGCUUGAGUGAUCGCAGGGCUUUUUUAUCGCAAGAACCAGAUGCGCACCUCACGGUGUGUGUGGCCACUUGCGGAGCGCGCCUUGAAUAAAGCACAGUGCUCAAAGCAGGCGUUACGCUCGAAUGUCAUAGCAUGGAACGAAUAAAUGACCGUGUGUGUUGUCUUCUUAACAGAAGAUGGCAUCGGUUCAAUUUGUUGGUUUCUGAACCCGGUCCUGAUUAAAAGGGACAUUUGAGGGCGUUAGUACUUGGUGGCGAGAGGUGAAAUUCUUAGACCCACCAAAGACUCACUAAUGCGAAAGCAUUCGCCAAGAAUGUUUUCAUUGAUCAAGAACGAAAGUUAGAGGUUCGAAGACGAUCAGAUACCGUCCUAGUUCUAUACAGUAAACUAUGCCACCUUGGGAUUAGUCCGGUGACUAACCAGGUUGGUCCCCCCGCGAAACC